ACAGCCCUGGCUCCAGGGACUGCUCUGAGGGGGCUUGCACCCCUGCCCCAGCCACUGCCCAGCCGAGGGCAGCUGGUCACACCCCCUACCCAGAACUCAGCUCUGAUAAUGAAAAAGAAGACAGUGGACAGGGCUAUCCUCCUGCAGAAAAAGGUCAAAGAUGCCAGCACUCAGACUGCCUUGCCAAACUCUGUGGGUCCAGGAAAUCACAGUCUUACUUGCAGCGGACCAGUGCCCCCCAGUGCUCCCAGCUGCCCUGCCAUCACCGAGAAGCUGAAUGCUGUACAGAUGGAGGUGCAGAAGCUGAGCCAGGCCCUGCACGUGGUGCUGGAGCGGCAGUGCCGCCUGGAGCGCCAGCAGGAGCACCAGCAGCGGCUGCAGCAGGAGGUGCUGAUGACACUGCAGCAGCUCAGCUCCACCGUGAGCCACGGCACUGUGCCAGCCACCCAGCCAUGUGGCCCCUUCAGCAGCAUGGCUGAGCCCUCGCCCAGCAUGCCAAACUUCAGCCAGUUCAAGAUGGAGCUGAUCUGAGCUCCCACAAGGCCUGUGUGUGCCAGCAGUACUGUGCUAAUGGAGCCAGGAGGAAGAACCAUCUCUCAGAGGCUGCCCAAGGAUUACAUGCAGCACCCAGCAGAUAAGGUCCCUGGUGCCUCAUGUUCCCAGCCCUGCUGACUGGAAGGGGCUGCCUGGCACAAGAGGCUGGACAGUGGAAGGCUGAGGCCUUGCUGCUCCUGUGCUGCUGAUCCUGGCUGGCACUGGAGCUGGCUGGGGCCCAUGGACCUCAGGAGAAGGCAGUUGCCUGCAAGGAGAAGAUGCUGCUAACCUGGACACAGCAGGGAGGUGGGAUUCUCAAGGAUACAAGAGGCUUCCUUCUCAUAAGGGUCAAUGCCAUCAUGAUCAAUCUUGCCCUCCCCUCCACAGAAGCUUGUUCAGUUAAAAUCUGUCUACGCCACGGUUCAGAACCAGUGUGGGAUCAGAAUCUGUGUAUUCCCUACCCCUCACCCGGCCAGUGAGGAGGCUGGAUCUGUCUGGGUCACUACCACAAUGCAUGGAACUGCACAGGGUGCAGAAACCCGUGAGGUGAGACCAGCAUUCCACACACAGUGUUGUUGGAGCCUGGUAUCAGCUGCUGCACCAUUAGGGGUAGAUCACACUUGCAGGAAACAAUAUUUUACUGAGCAGAUUCCACCCUCCUCACCCCACAAACCCAGCAGAUCUGGAGUCUGGUACUGCUGCUGCCCACUGUCUGGCAAAUAUGGGCAGGACCAUACCAGAAAGAGUUGCACCUGGGCAGGCUGCUGGUGGUGCAGUGCUGCUCUAGCAGAGCAGGUCAUGAUGCUGAGAACCCCCUUGCCUAGACCAGAAGGGCACAGAGGAGGCUGAUGGGCCCUCACUGAGCAGUGGAGUCCAGAAGGACCGGAGACUGGCCUUGCCUGCCAGCACAAAGGUCUGAUGGGAGUGGCCUUGGCUCAGCACCCAGUUGUGAAUCCCAAGAGGAGGCAGAACACGUGUCCUUCCUCAGCAUCAGCCAAGCAGGCUUCUGUCUAUGUGGGCACCACACUUGGCACAGCCUGUGCCUAUGAGAAGUCCACAGCCUGUUUCUGAGGUCUCUUAGAGUCCAAGGUCAAAAUUAAGAAGGGUAAAAACCAAUUGAGGUGUUUGUACAUAGACGCACACACAGAGCUAUACACGCAUGCACAGAUGUAGAUGCAUGUGGCAGGUCUGGGCAGCAGCCCCAGUGCCUGGGGAAGCUGGACACCUGCUCUGCUGUCCCAAGACACAUUGCUGGCCCCAGGGCUGUCAGAUCCAGCUGUGCCCAGGAGAAUUAGAAGUCUGCUGUCAUCUGCCUGCGGUCAUUCAUUUGGAUCUUGGUGUAAUUUUGGGGAUGCCUGAAAAGCAACAGAUGAAGAAAAACACAUGAUCAGUUGCUCUGUUCUUUUGCACAAGGCAGCUAUUCUGCACCUCAGGUUUGAAAAGAAGAGGCUGGAUGACCAGCACUCAGCAGACAGUUCCCUAAUGUCUCUGUUACUGUUUCGGAGAAAAAGAGGAGCAGAACAACUGCUAUUCCCUGGCACAUGUACUUAAAACCACGCUGGUUUCUGGAAGAGCUUCCCGAAAUCUGGCUUGGGCUAUUUCUUAAAUUAUUAAAAAAAACCCAACCAACCAAACAAAAAAUUAUAUAUAUAUAUUUAGUCCCCAAAUGUAUUCUAAGAACUUUCCUAAUUUCUAACUCUUGCACAUCAGCACAUCCAGUGCUAAAAAAACCCAGCAAAAAUUAAUAAAUCACUUGGGUUGGUUAAAUAGCCUAUCCA
ensembl:lncRNA